UCUGUCCUUAGGAGUCUCGCUGUGUGGCUGCUGUGUCCCAUGACCAUCAAUAGGUGGCAUAGAGCAGAGAGGUUAUGUCUAUUCUCAGCAUUGCAUCUAUGAACGUUUGCAUGAUUAGUAGCCUAAUGUU
ensembl:snoRNA Gm23896 small nucleolar RNA SNORA17